ensembl:snoRNA
UCCUCCUACAAAGGCGUGUCUAUGGUACCCUGUCUUUGGACACGUAAGAAUUGGAGGCAAAGAAAUGUGGACUUGGGGAAGUUCUGGAGCCAGCUUGCUCCCCGCAGGUUCAAGACCAACCCUCCCACAUUG